UGGCUCAGGACGAACGCUGGCGGCAUGCCUAACACAUGGCAAGUCGAACGGAGUAAUGACUCGGUAUACUAGUGGCGAACGGGUGAGUAACACGUGAAUAAUCUGCCCUGUACGAUGGGAUAACAGCUGGAAACGGCUGCUAAUACCGUAUAUGACCACGCCGAGGCAUCUCGGAGGGGUGAAAGCGCUUAAGCGGUACAGGAUGAGUUCGCGUCCAAUUAGCUAGCUGGUGAGGUAACGGCCCACCAAGGCGACGAUUGGUAGCCGACCUGAGAGGGUGAUCGGCCACACUGGAACUGAGACACGGUCCAGACUCCUACGGGAGGCAGCAGUGGGGAAUAUUGGGGCAAUGGAGGAAACUCUUACCCCAAGCAAUGCCGCGUGAGUGAUGAAGGUCUUCGGAUUGUAAAGCUCUUUGAUUGGGGACGAAUAAAUGACGGUACCCAAGGAACAAGCCCCGGCUAACUAUGUGCCAGCCGCCGC
rnacentral:rRNA from 1 species